rnacentral:rRNA from 1 species
UACGAAGGGGGCUAGCGUUGCUCGGAAUCACUGGGCGUAAAGGGUGCGUAGGCGGGUUUUUAAGUCAGGGGUGAAAUCCUGGAGCUCAACUCCAGAACUGCCUUUGAUACUGAAGAUCUUGAGUCCGGGAGAGGUGAGUGGAACUGCGAGUGUAGAGGUGAAAUUCGUAGAUAUUCGAAAGAACACCAGUGGCGAAGGCGGCUCACUGGCCCGGUACUGACGCUGAGGCACGAAAGCGUGGGGAGCAAACAGG